CAUGAAGAUGAUCCUGUGAGGAUUGAGCUGAAGACACUGCAGGAAAGGAAAGAAGAAAUUGACAUACUAGCACAUAAGCAAGUUCGGCGCAUCCUUUGGUGUGGGCUUGGACUAGGUCUGUUGCAGGUUGGACUAUUCUUUCGACUAACAUUCUGGGAAUUCUCAUGGGAUGUAAUGGAACCUAUUGGAUUUUUUGUCACUACCACUGGUAUAAUUAUAGGCUAUGCCUACUUCUUGUUCACUUCA
rnacentral:misc_RNA from 1 species